rnacentral:lncRNA from 1 species
GGGGAAGAGCAGGCGAAGAGCAAAGAGAUGGACUGAGUACUCCCAGCUAGAGCAAGCGGCAGUUAUGGCGCAUGCGCAGCAGCAGGGGUGGCCGCAGGUCGCCGUUCAAUAAUACUCAAGGGAUUUGUACAGCCCUAUAGGAGACACCUCCAGAGAAAGUAACAACUCUCAGUUGAUUAGCUGAGGUAUGUAUGUCAUUUAUGGCAAUACCUGUCUCCAUCCCCUCCGUCUUCUUCUAGGAGACCAAUUUUGUAAAUUGCUACUUUUCUAACAACAGUGGCACAGGUGGCCCAGCAUUCUCCCUUUUCUCAGAGCUGGUUUUCCAUCCUGGAAAGAGAAUAAACAGAUGCUUUUACAGCUCGCAUUGGUGGGAAGAUCUGGCACAAAUGAAGUAUCUAUAAGGAGCAGCAGAGUCAAGGUGGUGAUCCUGUGGAAGAA